UGUCCUGUAGUGGGGGAUAGCCCGGCGAAAGCCGGAUUAAUACCGCAUACGAUCUACGGAUGAAAGCGGGGGACCUUCGGGCCUCGCGCUAUAGGGUUGGCCGAUGGCUGAUUAGCUAGUUGGUGGGGUAAAGGCCUACCAAGGCGACGAUCCAGUAGCUGGUCUUGAGAGGACGACCAGCCACCACUGGGACUGAGGACACGGCCCAGACUCCUACGGGAGGCAGCAGUGGGGAAUUUUGGACAAUGGGCGAAAGCCUGAUCCAGCAAUGCCGCGUGUGUGAAGAAGGCCUUCGGGUUGUAAAGCACUUUUGUCCGGAAAGAAAUCCUUGGCUCUAAUACAGCCGGGGGAUGACGGUACCGGAAGAAUAAGCACCGGCUAACUACGUGCCAGCAGCCGCGGUAAUACGUAGGGUGCAAGCGUUAAUCGGAAUUACUGGGCGUAAAGCGUGCGCAGGCGGUUUGCUAAGACCGAUGUGAAAUCCCCGGGCUCAACCUGGGAACUGCAUUGGUGACUGGCAGGCUAGAGUAUGGCAGAGGGGGGUAGAAUUCCACGUGUAGCAGUGAAAUGCGUAGAGAUGUGGAGGAAUACCGAUGGCGAAGGCAGCCCCCUGGGCCAAUACUGACGCUCAUGCACGAAAGCGUGGGGAGCAAACAGGAUUAGAUACCCUGGUAGUCCACGCCCUAAACGAUGUCAACUAGUUGUUGGGGAUUCAUUUCCUUAGUAACGUAGCUAACGCGUGAAGUUGACCGCCUGGGGAGUACGGUCGCAAGAUUAAAACUCAAAGGAAUUGACGGGGACCCGCACAAGCGGUGGAUGAUGUGGAUUAAUUCGAUGCAACGCGAAAAACCUUACCUACCCUUGACAUGGUCGGAAUCCCGCUGAGAGGUGGGAGUGCUCGAAAGAGAACCGGCGCACAGGUGCUGCAUGGCUGUCGUCAGCUCGUGUCGUGAGAUGUUGGGUUAAGUCCCGCAACGAGCGCAACCCUUGUCCUUAGUUGCUACGCAAGAGCACUCUAAGGAGACUGCCGGUGACAAACCGGAGGAAGGUGGGGAUGACGUCAAGUCCUCAUGGCCCUUAUGGGUAGGGCUUCACACGUCAUACAAUGGUCGGAACAGAGGGUUGCCAACCCGCGAGGGGGAGCUAAUCCCAGAAAACCGAUCGUAGUCCGGAUUGCACUCUGCAACUCGAGUGCAUG
rnacentral:rRNA from 1 species